UUGCUUUGGUAGCACAUAUACUAAAAUUUGAAUGAUACAGAGAAGAUUAGCAUGGCCCCUGAGAAAGGAUGACAUGCAAAUUCAUCAAGCAUUCCAUAUUUAU
ensembl:snRNA U6 U6 spliceosomal RNA